rnacentral:lncRNA from 1 species
CCUCACUUGGGACAUGCGACGAGGCCCCAUCUUCUGCCCGGGCCCGGGGGACAUGAGACAGGACACAAGUCUCGGGCACAAAGCUGUAGAGGCUUUGGGGAACUUUCCAUCUGCGACUGUCAUCAACAGUGCUGCAGGCACAUUCUGCUACCCAGCUGGUGACCAGGUGCAUUUCUGUUGGACAUGCACCUAGAAGUGGUGUCGCUGGUCAAGGACAGCUUGGGACCAGCUUCAGUGGUCAGGGCCACGUGGUUUUCCAAAGUUCCAACACACCAUCUCACCAGCCAGCAAAGACCAGCUGCUCCACGUUCCCACCAAUCUGGGUGUUUUCCAGCAUUGCCACGGAAGCCGUUGGGCCAGGCGUGCAGGGCAUCGACCUGCAUUUCAAUUUGUGUUUGCAUUUUCCUGGUGACGAGUGAAGAUAAGCACCUUCUCAUGUGUUUAUUGGAUUCUGGGUUUCCUUUCUGCAUGUGUGAAGUGUCUGUCAAAUCAUUUGUCUUUGUGUUUUUUCUAUUGCGUUGUCUAUCUUUUUAUCGGUUUGUUGUUUUUAUACAUGAG